rnacentral:lncRNA from 10 species
AGACCCCGAUCACCCGCAGCUACGAGAGUUGCCGCCGCCAGUGUGUGCCGGGCGACGUCGCCCACGCCCCUGCCAGCCAUCCUCACAGCAGCAGCAGCCCUGGUAGAAAUUGAUGUGGGCACCCUCUCGACCCGCCCCUGUACUUGUCUUUGUCCCAGCUCUGCGGACUGAGCCUACCUCUCUUCCUUGGGGUAUUAAUGCUACCUAUUGUCUCUCUUGAAUCUUUUCCCUCCAAAACUGCACAGAAGGAGCCAUUUAACACCCAGGGAAACUGAGGCUUAGAGUGCUGCAAUGCUUGCCCAAGAUCCCACAGCCAGAUGGGUAAAUCUAGGAUUCACACCGAGAUCUUUGGAAAACCAAAAGACUUUUCCUCUGCUUUUCAGCCUCCAGAAUUCUCUGAAUUGCUUAAGUCUCUGGCCUCAAAUGCCCCAAGAUCCUCCUUGGGAGACCUCUCUGACAGGGAGCUUGGGGGAGAGCAGAGGGGCAUUGACUUAACUCUGCUGGAGGGUAAGGACUAGACUCCCAUCCCCUCUCCCUACUCAGAACCUUCAUUAGAGAAAACCCCAAAGUGUGACCUCAUGGUCACAUGCAAAUCUAAACACAGACCAUUGUGCUUAAACCAACACACCGCACACACUCCUACCCUGCAGGAUCUUCUGAGGAAGAAACUUCUCCUUCUGCAUCCAGGCUGUGCUGGGCCCUGGACUCAGAGGAGAGGUGGUCCCAUGCCAUUGGAUUGCAUCUAUGACUUCGGGAGGUAGGGCGAAGACUGGUCCCCCAGACACCACAGAGCUUCCCAUCUUCUUUUGCCAGGCACUUCACCAAAGAAGAUACAUGGAUGACAAUUAAGCACUUGGGAAGAUGCUCAACAUCAUUAGUCAUGAGGAAAAUGCAAAUUAAACCAGAGAUACCACUACACACCCCACCCGUGGAAGUGGUUUAAAUUUAAAAAAUAAAACGAACAAUUCUACAUGUUGGAGAGGAUAUGGAGUAACUGAAACUCUUAUACAUUGAUGGUGGGAAUAUAAACUGGUAACUACUCUGUAAAAACAGUUUUUAUAAACAUCCACCUACCAUAAGACCUAGCAAUACCCACUUCUAGGUGUUUAGAGAAGUGAAAACUCUUGCUCAGACAAAAAUCUGUACAAAAAUGUUUACAGCAGCUCUGUUAGCAAUCACUAAAAACUGGACAUGACAGGUGGAUGGGUAAAUAAAUCAUGGUACAGCCAUACAGGAACAGAGAGGAAUGCAACAUGAGUGAAUCUCAAGGCAUCAUGCUGAGCACAAGAAGCCAGUUCAAAGGGUAUGUGCUGAAUGUUUCAUUUAAAUGUCGGAAAUGGCAAAAGUAUUGUUGGAGGACAGGUCAGUGUUUGUAAAGGAUUACAAGUAGAGGAAGGUGUGACCACAAAGAGCAGCAUGAGGAAAUUUUGGAGUGAUGAAACUAUUGUGUAUCUUGAUUGUGGUAGUGAUUAUGCAAAUCUAUGUACAUGUUUAAAAAGUCAUAGAUGCACUCAGUAUGCAAUGAGGAUAAAAUAAAAAAUAAUAAUUUAAAAUCAUAGAUCUGGCCAGGUGUGGUGGAUCACACCUGUAAAAAAAAUACAAGUAGCAGCAGGACAUGGUGGCUUGCACCUGGAAUCUCAGCUACUUGGGAGGCUGAGACCUGGGCAACAGAGACCCUCUUAUGGUGGCUCACGCCUGUAAUCUCAGCACUUUGGAGGAUGAGGUUGUGGGAUUGCUUAAGACCAGGAUUUCGAGACCAGCCUGGGCAACAUAGGAAACCUGGUCUCUAAAAACAAAACAAGCAGUGGCUCAAGCCCGUAAUCCUAGCACUUUGGAAGGCGGAGGUGGUCGGAUGGCUUUGAGGCCAGGAGUUCUAGACCAGCCUGGGUAACAUGGUGAAACCCUGUCUCUACUAAAAAUACAAAAAUUAGCCAGGCAUGGUGGCCCCAACUGUAGCCCCAGCUACUCUGGAGGCUGAGGUGGGAUCACUUGAGCCAAGGAGGUGGAGAUUGCAGUAAGCUGAGAUCGCACUUCUGCAUUCCAGCCUGGGUGAUAGA